GAGUCCCUGCGGAGUGCGUGAUGAGAUCACGCUACUUGAACCAACUCUCUAAUUGUCGGUUCCCGAGUCCAUUCGGGGCUGGUGCAUGCCCUCCUCCCGUUGACGGGUCGAGGGAAGCCGAGUCGCCCCGGGCAGGGGGCCACCCUGUUUUACGCAGGUUCAAUUAGGGCCGCUCACACGGCUCAGGCGGGGCACUC
rnacentral:other from 1 species